rnacentral:miRNA from 1 species
CUAUACAGCCUACUGCCUUCCC